rnacentral:rRNA from 1 species
GAUGAACGCUGGCGGCGUGCCUAACACAUGCAAGUCGAGCGACUGGAUUAAGAGCUUGCUCUUAUGAAGUUAGCGGCGGACGGGUGAGUGACACGUGGGUAACCUGCCCAUAAGACUGGGAUAACUCCGGGAAACCGGGGCUAAUACCGGAUAACAUUUUGAACCGCAUGGUUCGAAAUUGAAAGGCGGCUUCGGCUGUCACUUAUGGAUGGACCCGCGUCGCAUUAGCUAGUUGGUGAGGUAACGGCUCACCAAGGCAACGAUGCGUAACCGGACGGAGAGGGUGAUCGGCCACACUGGGACUGAGACACGGCCCAGACUCCUACGGGAGGCAGCAGUAGGGAAACUUCCGCAAUGGACGAAAGUCUGACGGAGCAACGCCGCGUGAGUGAUGAAGGCUUUCGGGUCGUAAAACUCUGUUGUUAGAGAAGAACAAGUGCUAGUUGAAUAAGCUGGCACCUUGACGGUACCUAACCAGAAAGCCACGGCUAACUACGUGCCAGCCGCCGCAGUAA